AUGUAUAAUCCUCUUAUGAGGCUCGUUGUGUUUUGAAUAAUAAAGGUUAUAAAAUAAACAUAACACCAACUACGUUGGAUAAAAUUCUAGAUAGAAUACUGAUUAUGACUAUUUUCUAUCUAUAUGUCUUGACCAAAUUACGUGCCAGCAGUCGCGGUAAUACGUAGAAGACUAGUGUUAUUCAUCUUUAAUAGGUUUAAAGGGUACCUAGACGGUAUUAUUAGCCCAAAACAGGGAAUUUUUUUUACUAGAGUUUGAUGUAAGAAGGGAGAAUUCAGGGAGUAGAGUUGAAAUUCUUUGAUACCCUGAGGACUGGUAAUGGCGAAAGCACCCUCCUAUGUAAUAACUGACGUUAAGGGACGAAGGCAUGGGGAGCGAACAGGAUUAGAUACCCUAGUAGUCCGUGCAGAUAAUUAUGAGUGCCAUAGACUAGAUAUAUUUUAGUUUAUAAAUGAAAGUGUAAGCAUUCCACCUCAAGAGUACUGUGGCAACGCUGGAACUGAAAUCAUUAGACCGUUUCUGAGAACAGUAGUGAAGUAUGUUAUAUAAUUCGAUAGUCCUCGUAAAACCUUACCACAACUUGAAUUGUGUCCUCUAAAUAUUAAUUCUUUAUUAUUACUCUGGCUAAUAUUACUUAUAACUAGGUUAUUAGGUAGUUGUAGUAGUAUUUUUAUUUAUAAUUAUGAUGUUACAAGUGUUGCACGGUUGUCUUCAGCUAAUGUCGUGAGAUUUUGGUUAGUUCCAUAAAAUUAGCGUAAACCCCGGUUUUAUUUUUUAAUUAUUAUAAUAAAGCAGUUCGUCAACUAUAUCCGAUAUAUGAUAA
rnacentral:rRNA from 1 species